rnacentral:rRNA from 1 species
GCCACAUGGUCCAGCGACCAAAGGAGCAAUCCGCUGAAAGAUGGGCUCGCGUCUGAUUAGAUAGUUGGUGGGGUAACGGCCUACCAAGUCGACGAUCAGUAGCCGGACUGAGAGGUUGAACGGCCACAUUGGGACUGAGAUACGGCCCAGACUCCUACGGGAGGCAGCAGUGGGGAAUAUUGCACAAUGGGGGAAACCCUGAUGCAGCAACGCCGCGUGAAGGAUGACGGUUUUCGGAUUGUAAACUUCUGUUCUCGUUGACGAAGACAGUGACGGUAAACGAGGAGCAAGCUACGGCUAACUACGUGCCAGCAGCCGCGGUGAUACGUAGGUGGCAAGCGUUGUCCGGAAUUACUGGGUGUAAAGGGAGCGCAGGCGGGAGAGCAAGUCAGCUGUGAAAACCACGGGCUUAACCUGUGGACUGCAGUUGAAACUGUUCUUCUUGAGUGAAGUAGAGGUAAGCGGAAUUCCGAGUGUAGCGGUGAAAUGCGUAGAGAUUCGGAGGAACACCAGUGGCGAAGGCGGCUUACUGGGCUUUAACUGACGCUGAGGCUCGAAAGUGUGGGGAGCAAACAGGAUUAGAUACCCUGGUAGUCCACACCGUAAACGAUGAUUGCUAGGUGUGGGGGGUCUGACCCCUUCCGUGCCGCAGU